AUUGAACGCUGGCGGCAUGCCUUACACAUGCAAGUCGAACGGCAGCACGGGAGCAAUCCUGGUGGCGAGUGGCGAACGGGUGAGUAAUAUAUCGGAACGUGCCCAGUCGUGGGGAUAACGUAGCGAAAGCUACGCUAAUACCGCAUACGAUCUAUGGAUGAAAGCGGGGGAUCGCAAGACCUCGCGCGAUUGGAGCGGCCGAUAUCAGAUUAGGUAGUUGGUGAGGUAAAGGCUCACCAAGCCGACGAUCUGUAGCUGGUCUGAGAGGACGACCAGCCACACUGGGACUGAGACACGGCCCAGACUCCUACGGGAGGCAGCAGUGGGGGAUUUUGGACAAUGGGCGCAAGCCUGAUCCAGCAAAUGCCGCGUGCAGGAUGAAGGCCUCGGUUGUAAC
rnacentral:rRNA from 1 species